rnacentral:rRNA from 1 species
UACAGAGGUCCCAAGCGUUGUUCGGAUUCAUUGGGCGUAAAGGGUGCGUAGGCGGCGCGGUAAGUCGGGUGUGAAAUCUCGGAGCUUAACUCCGAAACUGCAUUCGAUACUGCCGUGCUUGAGGACUGGAGAGGAGACUGGAAUUUACGGUGUAGCGGUGAAAUGCGUAGAUAUCGUAAGGAAGACCAGUGGCGAAGGCGGGGUCUCUGGACAGUUCCUGACGCUGAGGCACGAAGGCUAGGGGAGCAAACGGG